UAGGGANUCUUCCACAAUGGGCGCAAGCCUGAUGGAGCAACACCGCGUGAGUGAAGAAGGGUUUCGGCUCGUAAAGCUCUGUUGUUAAAGGAGAACACGUAUGAGAGUAACUGUUCAUACGUUGACGGUAUUUAACCAGAAAGUCACGGCUAACUACGUGCCAGCAGCCGCGGUAAUACGUAGGUGGCAAGCGUUAUCCGGAUUUAUUGGGCGUAAAGAGAGUGCGGGCGGUUUUCUAAGUCUGAUGUGAAAGCCUUCGGCUUAACCGGAGAAGUGCAUCGGAAACUGGAUAACUUGAGUGCAGAAGAGGGUAGUGGAACUCCAUGUGUAGCGGCGGAAUGCGUAGAUAUAUGGAAGAACACCAGUGGCGAAGGCGGCUACCUGGUCUGCAACUGACGCUGAGACUCGAAAGCAUGGGUAGCGAACAGGAUUAGAUACCCUGGUAGUCCAUGCCGUAAACGAUGAGUGCUAGGUGUUGGAGGGUUUCCGCCCUUCAGUGCCGGAGCUAACGCAUUAAGCACUCCGCCUGGGGAGUACGACCGCAAGGUUG
rnacentral:rRNA from 1 species